GUAGUCCAUGCCGUAAACGUUGGGCGCUAGGUGUGGGCCGCAUUCCACGUGGUCUGUGCCGCAGCUAACGCAUUAAGCGCCCCGCCUGGGGAGUACGGCCGCAAGGCUAAAACUCAAAGGAAUUGACGGGGCCCCGCACAAGCGGCGGAGCAUGCGGAUUAAUUCGAUGCAACGCGAAGAACCUUACCAAGGCUUGACAUGCAGGGAAAUCCUCCAGAGAUGGUGGGUCCGCAAGGGUUCCUGCGCAGGUGGUGCAUGGUUGUCGUCAGCUCGUGUCGUGAGAUGUUGGGUUAAGUCCCGCAACGAGCGCAACCCUCGUUCGAUGUUGCCAGCGGGUGAUGCCGGGGACU
rnacentral:rRNA from 1 species